AUUCGGCUGACGCGUACCAGAUAAGACGAAACACGUGUCCCGGAU
rnacentral:hammerhead_ribozyme from 1 species